ACACGAGUUGUUGCUGGUCCUCAAACGGGGGCAUGUGCACGCUCUGUUCACACAUCCACUCACACCUGUGCACCCUCUGUAGUUCUAUGGUCUGGGGGGGCUCUGCCCUCUCGCCGUGGUUCUAUGUCUUUACACACGCACUGUAAUAAAGUUUCAUGGAAUGCAUGACGCGUUUAACGCAAUACAAUACAACUUUCAGCAACGGAUCUCUUGGCUCUCGCAUCGAUGAAGAACGCAGCGAAAUGCGAUAAGUAAUGUGAAUUGCAGAAUUCAGUGAAUCAUCGAAUCUUUGAACGCACCUUGCGCCCUUUGGUAUUCCAGAGGGCAUGCCUGUUUGAGUAUCAUGAACACCUCAACUCUCACGGUCCGCCGUGAUGAGCUUGGACUUUGGGGGUCUUGCUGGCCUGCGGGUCGGCUCCUCUCAAAUGAAUCAGCUUGCCAGUGUUUGGUGGCAUCACGGGUGUGAUAACUAUCUACGCUUGUGGUUUUCCACCAGGUAACCUUCAGCAAUGGAGGUUCGCUGGGGCUCACAAAUGUCUCUCCUCGGUGAGGACAACUUCUUGAAUGUUUGAUCUCAAAUCAGGUAGGGCUACCCGCUGAACUUAAGCAUAUCAAUAA
rnacentral:rRNA from 1 species